GGGUAUAUUGCUGGUUUACUGUAUAGUUCGUCAUUCAAUCUGGUAGUUAAACUUUCUAAUUUGGUGGGGCAAAGUUUCCCAUUAGGAAUAUUUUAUCUGCAUUUUUGGCUCUGCGCCUGAGAGCAAAUAACCUGUAAAUGUUUAGUCUUCGAAUUCAAUAGUGAAUUCAAAUAGUUUUUCUGACUUGUGCCCAUUUUUACAUCUGGAUUUAAAUAUUGUACAUGAUUAGUCACAAAAAAUGUGUCUAGAACUUUGGUUGUAUAUUUUCUUCCUUGUUUUAUGGAAUCAAGUUGUGGUUUUAGUAGCUAUGUAGUGAGUUUCUUGGUGUGGUAGUGAGUUUCUCGUUCUUUCUUACAUAUCUGUUAAAAAAUCUGUCAAAAGUCAAUUUUACAAACGAAGUUGGUCAAAACCUGAUUAGACAAAAGAUUCGUUGAAAGGACUUAGUACUACAACUGUAGUAAUAACUUGGUAUAUAUAUAUAUAGUGUCUCCAUAUGUAUACAAUGAAGUUAUUUGUCCACCGUAUCGAUUUGGGAAUGACAUAACAUAAAAAUUAAGCUUAACUCCACCAUAAUAAGCCAAGAGUACUUCAUUAUGAUCUUCAAGUCACAUCAUAAAAAGGGGAAAGAGAAUCUAGCGGAGAUGUCGACUUACCAGAAACUACUCGCCGAAGCAUGUGACAUUCCAACCCGAAUAUUGGCCUUCAAGAAUAAACCUCCAACCCCUAAGGAAAUUUGGCCUCCUCUUCCUCCUCCUCCUCCGCAAUGCAGAUCAUCCAAGCCCAAAAGACACAUUCCUAAGACUUGGGAGAGGAAGUUGGAUGCCCCUUAUAUGGUAGACGACUUUUGCUUGAACUUGUUGGAUUGGGGUAGCAGUAAUGUCAUUAGUAUCGCCCUUGAAAAUAGUGUCUAUCUUUGGAAUGCUUCAAAUAGCUCCACUUCAGAACUUGUCACUGUGGAUGAUGAAUAUGGUCCUGUUACAAGUGUUAGCUGGGCCUCAGAUGGACGACAUAUAGCCGUUGGUUUGAACAAGUCACUUGUCCAAAUUUGGGAUGCAACAACUACUAAACAGCUGAGAACAUUGAGGGGUGGGCACAGAGGAAGAGUGGGUUCACUGGCUUGGAAUAGUCAUAUUCUGACAACCGGAGGAAUGGAUGGUAAAAUAGUAAACAAUGAUCUUAGAGUGAGAUCUCACAUUGUUCAAACUUACAUGGGACAUGAUCAGGAGGUUUGUGGGCUCAAAUGGUCACCCUCGGGACGACAAUUGGCGAGUGGUGGAAACGAUAAUGUUGUUCACAUAUGGGAUAGGUCUGUGGUUUCUUUAAAUUCACCUACCCGUUGCCUUCAUAGGUUUGAGGAACACAGGGCUGCUGUGAAGGCACUGGCUUGGUCUCCUUUUCAAAAUAAUCUAUUGGCUUCUGGUGGAGGUGUAGGUGAUAAUUGCAUUAAGAUGUGGAACACUCGCACAGGUGCGAGAUUGAACUCUGUUGACACAGGAUCGCAAGUAUGUGCUCUGCUGUGGAAUAAGAACGAGCGUGAGCUUCUUAGCUCACAUGGUUUCACUGAGAACCAGCUUACCCUUUGGAAGUAUCCUUCUAUGGUGAAGAUGGCAGAGCUCAACGGUCAUACGUCGAGGGUAUUGCACAUGACACAGAGUCCAGAUGGCUGUAUGGUGGCAACUGCUGCCGCGGAUGAAACUAUGAGACUUUGGAAUGUCUUUGAAACACCAGCAGCAUCAUGCAAAGCAGAGCCCUUUGCUAAGUUCAACUGUAUCCGUUGAACAAGCACAUGCAUCAUCCCCAAAAUCCCACGGCACCAUCACCAAAACCAUUAGUCCCUAUUUUAGUUUUCUAUGUCAAUCCCACCCCCCUGCCCCGCCCUGCCCCACACACACACGUCAUUUUUUUAUUUUAUGAUUGAAGCCUUUUCUUUGUGUCAUCUCUGCUGUGAUGUUUAUAGGUAGAAUAGUGAAUCUUUCCUUACUUUGUUACUAUUUUUCAUUUAUUAGAUAUUUUUUGUUGAUAGUUUACCUAACUGAUUUGUUGUGUCAUUUUAUUUAGGAGCCUACCUUUGUGGCUUUCUCAGCUCUCAAUCUUUGUAUGUUUAGGAUUUGAUUUUAAGUUGAUUUCAGCUUUGAUUAGGCUUUUCUUCAUGUCCAAUGCUCGCAUCUCUGUGAUUGUUGCUGCAUUUGUUGGAUCAACCAAUUUUCACACCUCUUAGACCAUAAGUUGGUUUCCCUACACAUAAGCGAAUUUUGAUUAGUGCAUGUUUUCAACCAGUUGAAUUGACUACUAUUGCAAUACUUUACUUCCUUAUAGCUUGUAUAUGCAAAUUGAGGAAAGUGUUGAGAAUGUGAAGUAUGUCAGUGUUGGUUCAUGCUUAAUUUUAGGCUAGGUUGGGUGCACAAAUUAGGGCUUAGUGGUUCAAGGGGGAACUUAGUAUAGCUACUGAAAUGCAUGUGCUGAUGUUCUUCUAUUUGUUCCAAUUAUUUUUACUGCAGACAAAGACACUGUGAAUCACAAGACGAUAUGGCUUGAAGACUCCAUGGUUGUAUCUGUAUUGGUAUUGGAAUCUACAUCUUAGGGUUCACAAUAUCCAUAAUCCUUUCUCAACAUGUAUUGUGAUUAAGGGUUUGUUUGGAUUGUUGGAAGUUCAGGGUAUCCUUUAAUGGAUUAGGUUUUGGUGCCUUAUACUCGACAAAAUCUUACUUGGACACAACAUGAUUCAAUGAGAAGAUCGGUGAGAUACAAAAAGUUGCUAAAUAUGCAUUUGCUAGAUUGAAAGGUAGGUGAGUUGUUUGCAGAAAAGGACUGAAGUUAAGCUUCAAAAUUUGCCAGUUGUUCUUGGUGCUUGUGUUUUGCAUAAUAUUUGUGAGAUGAAAGGUGAGAAAAUGGAUCCUAAACUUAAAGUUGAUGUUAUUGAUGAUGAUAUGGUUUAGCAGGCACUUCUUUUCUCUAAACUGAUGAUAAUUAGUGUAAUUUGUUGCAUUUUGAUGAUUAUUUUCUGCUUCUUUGAGAACAUCAUUAUUUUUAUUUUUGCUUAAUUUAUUCAAUCAUUAUUUGUCGAA